CUCUUGUCUUUCUCUUAUUUUUUUUCUAAAUGUUUAUUUUAUUUGCUCGAAUUAUUCGUGCUAGGGUUUGGUUUGGUGAACAACCCUUUAUCUUGAGUGAGAUUUUUUUCUUAGUCUUUUUUUUAUAAUCUUUUUAUGAAAUGAAAACAUUAUAAUUGCACUGGGUUUCAAGGGUGGAUUUUUGAUUGGGUUUGGUGGGUAUUAUUGAUACUAAUUUUUUAUAAAAAGUGUGAUGUUUCUCUUUCACUGCUUGAAUUUUUGUCUGAAUCUCUUUUUAUUCAAUGUUUUUUUUUCCCCUUAAUUUGAUAUCGUUUCUUUGAAGCACAGGUAAUGUUGUAUGGGCUUCAAUUUUUUUUUUUUUUCUGGAUUUCUUUCGGGCCUCAUCGUAGCUUCAGUCGGAGUGUAUUCCUAGCUCGGUUUUUUUCGCCCACCUUAGCCUCGGUCUGAGAUAAGAGGGAGUAUUGUCCAGUGUCUCCACAAGCGAGUGUUUAACAUCCAUCUCUUCCGUUGUCAUCAUGGUGCCAUGAACUACACGUCCUAGCUGGCUUUGGGAGACUAGGUACAAAAAGGAUGGUUCCUAUCAUGUAGCCUGUCACAACACAACAGUCAGAGAGUCGAUUCCUGCUCAAGGCUCAUAGAAAUUCCUUCUAGCUAAUUCUUCUAACAUUAUGUACAAUUAUCAAGGAGCUUAACCACAGUGUGGAAAGACAGCAAUGGUUCUUGUCAAUGCAGCAAGGUUUUAAGAGGAAAUCCUAAUGGAUGGUUUGAUCUCAUGAAGCAUACCAUGGUUGGACUGUAUUGAAACUAGGGUCAUUUUGUCCUGAGCUAGUUUAAUCUGUACUUGACAUGUUUGAGGCUCUCACUGUGCCCAUCGAUGCUUCAGGCUGCGCCUGUAAAGGUGGUCAUGUUGAUGUUUUCCAUUGAGAAUAUCGUCUCCUGCAUGAGCUUUCUCCACCUAUACUGUUUUCUAAGAACUGUGAAGCUUGACCAUGUACGCUAGGAUGGUGGUCAUUCUUGACGUAUUCUCAUGUCUCAUCUGUUUAUCUGUUUAUUGCACACUGUUUAUCUGCACAUCUUGUUGGGGAUGAUAUAGUAGUUUAUUGCUCAAGAGUUUUUGUAUUAUGGUGAUGUAUUAUAAAUUUUCUGGGGAUGUCUUAUCUGCAACAUUUUCAUUUCCAUGGUUCUAUAUAAACCGUUCAUUUUGUUAUUGCUUCUAA